AGCGAACGCUGGCGGCAGGCCUAAUACAUGCAAGUCGAACGCACCUUCGGGUGAGUGGCGGACGGGUGAGUAACGCGUGGGAACGUGCCCUUUGGUUCGGAACAACACAGGGAAACUUGUGCUAAUACCGAAUGUGCCCUUCGGGGAAGGAUUAUUCGCCAUUGGAGCGGCCCGCGUUGGAUUAGCUAGUUGGUGGGGUAAAGGGCCCACCAAGGCUACGAUCCAUAGCUGGUCUGAGAGGANGAUCAGCCACACUGGGACUGAGACACGGCCCAGACUCCUACGGGAGGCAGCAGUAGGGAAUCUUGCGCAAUGGGCGAAAGACCUGACGCAGCCAUGCCGCGUGAAU
rnacentral:rRNA from 1 species